GAUGAACGCUAGCGGCAGGCUAACACAUGCAAGUCGAGGGAGAAGCCUUCGGGCUGAAACCGGCGCACGGGUGCGUAACGCGUAUACAAUCUGCCUUUCACAUAGGGAUAGCCCGAAGAAAUUUGGAUUAAUACCUAAUGGUAUAUAGGAGCGGCAUCGUUUUUAUAUUAAAGCUACGGUGGUGAAAGGUGAGUAUGCGUUCUAUUAGCUAGUUGGAGAGGUAACGGCUCCCCAAGGCGACGAUAGAUAGGGGUUCUGAGAGGGAUGUCCCCCACACUGGUACUGAGAUACGGACCAGACUCCUACGGGAGGCAGCAGUGAGGAAUAUUGGACAAUGGUCGGAAGACUGAUCCAGCCAUGCCGCGUGCAGGAUGAAGGUCCUAUGGAUUGUAAACUGCUUUUGUAAGGGAAGAAUAAGGGGUACGUGUACUUUGAUGACGGUACCUUACGAAUAAGCAUCGGCUAACUCCGUGCCAGCAGCCGCGGUAAUACGGAGGAUGCGAGCGUUAUCCGGAAUCAUUGGGUUUAAAGGGUCCGUAGGCGGGCUAAUAAGUCAGAGGUGAAAGCGUUCAGCUCAACUGAGCAACUGCCUUUGAAACUGUUAGUCUUGAAUGAUUGUGAAGUAGUUGGAAUGUGUAGUGUAGCGGUGAAAUGCUUAGAUAUUACACAGAACACCGAUAGCGAAGGCAUAUUACUAACAAUUUAUUGACGCUGAUGGACGAAAGCGUGGGGAGCGAACAGG
rnacentral:rRNA from 1 species